AGUCGGACUAGUCGGAGCCGGUCGCUCCUUGUACGAGCGUCGUGACGUUGGCUUACUUUGGCGUUUCUCACGCAUCUCUCGAUUCUCAACGACGCGAACUGUCAACCGCCCGCGGUCGCCGUCGCACUCGAAACGCCACUCAUUCGGUUCACCCAUCGCGUUGUUAGUGCUCUGUCCGUUUUGUGCGCGAUCCACAAGUGUGUCCAGUGUGUCCAGUGUGUGAUUGAUAAUGAAUAAUGAACGCGGCAACGAGAGAUAGGACCACAUAGCAAUUUGUUUGAUACGUCUUCACAGCGGCGAUUUUCACGCGCACAGAGGCGACGUCGCAUCGAUCUAGACGGUUGCUGAUCUGGAAAUCUUGGAGAUCUCUCGCUUUCCUGCGCAUAUUCUCUGCGUACGUGGGAGGUCGAAGUUUUCGCCGAUAAUCCAACUUAGCAUCUGCCGCUUAACAAGGUAUAAUUAUCAAAGAUACGAAGAGGACCGUUUCCUGAGCAGAUAUUUGCCUCAUAAGAAGCAUUUCGGAUAGUCUGGCCGAUUCCUAAGAUCGGAGUAAGCCGAUAUUCUAUGGAGAUGCACUCACUGUACGUGAUCGUGAGGUCCAAGAAUGCGGUGACGUUGAGAAACUGCUUAAUCCGAAAAUACAUAUCGUAAUGCACAUAUACAAGUAUUAGUUAAAAUAUAAAAAAUUAUAUCCAGCGUCUACAACACUAAUUCAUAUUGAUGGAAAACCAUUUCGCCAUUCUACAUUGGCAUAACGGAGAACCAAAUGCGACAUAUCGAUUGAUAAACGUAUAACAUUACAUUAUUAAAACUCUGCCUUGUUUAAAAACUGGUAGACAUUUGCAAC